rnacentral:rRNA from 1 species
UACAGAGGGGGCAAGCGUUGUUCGGAAUUACUGGGCGUAAAGGGCGCGUAGGCGGCCUUCUAAGUCGAACGUGAAAUCCCCGGGCUCAACCCGGGAACUGCGUCCGAUACUGGAAGGCUUGAAUCCGGGAGAGGGAUGCGGAAUUCCAGGUGUAGCAGUGAAAUGCGUAGAUAUCUGGAGGAACACCGGUGGCGAAGGCGGCAUCCUGGACCGGUAUUGACGCUGAGGCGCGAAAGCCAGGGGAGCAAACGGG